AGUUAUAGCUUAAUUUUAAGCAUCUCGUUUACGUUGAGAAGAUCACUAAAUAUUGUGUAACUUAAAUA
rnacentral:tRNA from 1 species